rnacentral:rRNA from 1 species
UUCGGUUCGGAAUAACUCAGGGAAACUUGAGCUAAUACCGGAUACGCCCUUCUGGGGAAAGGCUUGCUGCCGAAGGAUCGGCCCGCGUCUGAUUAGCUAGUUGGUGAGGUUAUGGCUCACCAAGGCGACGAUCAGUAGCUGGUCUGAGAGGAUGAUCAGCCACACUGGGACUGAGACACGGCCCAGACUCCUACGGGAGGCAGCAGUGGGGAAUAUUGGACAAUGGGGGCAACCCUGAUCCAGCCAUGCCGCGUGAGUGAUGACGGCCUUAGGGUUGUAAAGCUCUUUUCUCCGGGACGAUAAUGACGGUACCGGAGGAAUAAGCCCCGGCUAACUUCGUGCCAGCAGCCGCGGUAAUACGAAGGGGGCUAGCGUUGCUCGGAAUCACUGGGCGUAAAGGGCGCGUAGGCGGCUGAUUUAGUCGAGGGUGAAAGCCCGUGGCUCAACCACGGAAUGGCCUUCGAUACUGGUUGGCUUGAGACCGGAAGAGGACAGCGGAACUGCGAGUGUAGAGGUGAAAUUCGUAGAUAUUCGCAAGAACACCAGUGGCGAAGGCGGCUGUCUGGUCCGGUUCUGACGCUGAGGCGCGAAAGCGUGGGGAGCAAACAGGAUUAGAUACCC